GAGUAAUGUCUGGGAAACUGCCUGAUGGAGGGGGAUAACUACUGGAAACGGUAGCUAAUACCGCAUAACGUCGCAAGACCAAAGAGGGGGACCUUCGGGCCUCUUGCCAUCGGAUGUGCCCAGAUGGGAUUAGCUAGUAGGUGGGGUAACGGCUCACCUAGGCGACGAUCCCUAGCUGGUCUGAGAGGAUGACCAGCCACACUGGAACUGAGACACGGUCCAGACUCCUACGGGAGGCAGCAUG
rnacentral:rRNA from 1 species